CCAGGUGGACGUAACAUCCACGACCUCUACGCCGUCUCCAUGGUAACCAGACGCCUCUCAGGCCGGAGCGGGCCAUGGCGCUCGGGCCACUGCGCAGGCUCAGCCCUUGUAUCUUGCUACUCUGAGCGCAGGGCUUCCUUUGGUCCAGCCUUGGGUUGAGUAAAUGGAGAGGACCUGGAGCCCCGAAGAGUAGGGGCGGCACGUAGGGACUUGAAGCCUGGUCUCGGGAUAAUUUCCAAAGGCAGAACUCCAAGUCUCCGAAGUUAUGCUGCUUCCCUGGUUCUUCUCAGAGAAAGGAGACUUGGGAGAAGCUCAGCAACGACCAAAGCUGGGCACCAAAAUUAAUUCUAAGGAGGGGCACCUUGCGUUUGCAUGAGCUUUCGCAUCACUUACCUCCUCUUCAGUCCUGGGGAGCCAGAGGGACGUGAGUCAUUCCCAUUUUGCAGGAUACUAUGAUAGAAUAAGAAUUCUGCUGAUGUGGGGAAGGGAUAAGAAGAAGCUACCUGGCUUGCCUCUACUACCUUGAUUGAUCCUGUUGAGGACCAUCUUUCCCAUGUGUCCCACUUACUUGAUAUGUAUUUACUACUGAAAAUAUAUUUCUUCAAACACA